GUCAGCAGCCAUAGCACCUGCAGCUGAGCCCAGGUAAUCUACCUGAAGCUAAGCAGGUUUGGGUCUGGCCAGUAUCUGGAAGGGAGACCAACUGGGAAAGCCGGGUUGCUGCCA
rnacentral:rRNA from 1 species